CUGGCUCAGGAUGAACGCUGGCGGCGUGCUUAACACAUGCAAGUCGAACGGAGUAUGAGAAUGAAGUUUCGGAUGGAUUUUCAAUACUAGUGGCGGACGGGUGAGUAACGCGUGGGUAACCUGCCUCACACAGGGGGAUAACAGUUGGAAACGACUGUUAAUACCGCAUAAGACCACAGUACCGCAUGGUACAGGGGUAAAAACUCCGGUGGUGUGAGAUGGACCCGCGUCUGAUUAGUUAGUUGGCGGGGUAACGGCCCACCAAGACGACGAUCAGUAGCCGAUCUGAGAGGAUGACCGGCCACAUUGGGACUGAGACACGGCCCAAACUCCUACGGGAGGCAGCAGUGGGGAAUAUUGCACAAUGGGGGAAACCCUGAUGCAAGCGACGCCGCGUGAGUGAAGAAGUAUUUCGGUAUGUAAAGCUCUAUCAGCAGGGAAGAAAAUGACGGUACCUGAGUAAGAAGCCCCGGCUAACUACGUGCCAGCAGCAGC
rnacentral:rRNA from 1 species